rnacentral:tRNA from 1 species
GGCUGGUUAGCUCAAUCAGCUGAGCAUGGUGCUAACAACGUCAAGGUCACAGGUUCGAUUCCUGUUCUGUCCC